UACGGAAGGGGCAAGCGUUGUUCGGAAUCAUUGGGCGUAAAGGGCGCGUAGGUGGUUCUGUAUGUCUACCGUGAAAGCGUACGGCUCAACUGUAUUUUGUCGGUAGAAACUGCAGGACUUGAGGCUGGGAGGGGCUGGUGGAAUUCCCUGUGUAGCGGUGAAAUGCGUAGAGAUGGGGGAGAACACUCGUGGCGAAGGCGGCUCUCUGGGACGGUACUGACGCUGAGACGCGAAAGCGUGGGGAGCGAACAGG
rnacentral:rRNA from 1 species